AGUGAACGCUGGCGGCAGGCCUAAUACAUGCAAGUCGAACGGCAGCACAGCAGAGCUUGCUCUGUGGGUGGCGAGUGGCGGACGGGUGAGGAAUACAUGGGAAUCUGCCCAGUCGUGGGGGAUAACGUAGGGAAACUUACGCUAAUACCGCAUGCGCCCUUCGGGGGAAAGCCGGGGACCUUCGGGCCUGGCGCGAUUGGAUGAGCCCAUGUCGGAUUAGCUAGUUGGCGGGGUAAUGGCCCACCAAGGCGACGAUCCGUAGCUGGUCUGAGAGGAUGAUCAGCCACACUGGAACUGAGACACGGUCCAGACUCCUACGGGAGGCAGCAGUAGGGAAUAUUGGACAAUGGGCGCAAGCCUGAUCCAGCCAUGCCGCGUGAGUGAAGAAGGCCCUCGGGUUGUAAAGCUCUUUUGUUGGGGAAGAAAGCAGUUGGUUAAUACCCGAUUGUUCUGACGGUACCCAAAGAAUAAGCACCGGCUAACUUCGUGCC
rnacentral:rRNA from 1 species